rnacentral:rRNA from 1 species
GAUGAACGCUGGCGGCGUGCCUAAUACAUGCAAGUCGAGCGAACAGACGAGGAGCUUGCUCCUCUGACGUUAGCGGCGGACGGGUGAGUAACACGUGGAUAACCUACCUAUAAGACUGGGAUAACUUCGGGAAACCGGAGCUAAUACCGGAUAAUAUAUUGAACCGCAUGGUUCAAUAGUGAAAGACGGUUUUGCUGUCACUUAUAGAUGGAUCCGCGCCGCAUUAGCUAGUUGGUAAGGUAACGGCUUACCAAGGCAACGAUGCGUAGCCGACCUGAGAGGGUGAUCGGCCACACUGGAAAUGAGACACGGUCCAGACUCCUACGGGAGGCAGCAGUAGGGAAUCUUCCGCAAUGGGCGAAAGCUUGACGGAGCAACGCCGCAUGAGUGAUGAAGGUCUUCGGAUCGUAAAACUCUGUUAUUAGGGAAGAACAAAUGUGUAAGUAACUAUGCACGUCUUAACGGUACCUAAUCAGAAAGCCACGGCUAGCUACGUG